rnacentral:rRNA from 1 species
GUAAAGCACUUUCAGUAGGGAGGAAGGUAGUGUAGUUAACACCUGCAUUAUUUGACGUUACCUACAGAAGAAGCACCGGCUAACUCCGUGCCAGCAGCCGCGGUAAUACGGAGGGUGCGAGCGUUAAUCGGAAUUACUGGGCGUAAAGCGCAUGCAGGCGGCCUGUUAAGUCAGAUGUGAAAGACCCGGGGCGUUAACCUCGGAAUUGCAUUUGAAACUGGCAGGCUAGAGUCUUGUAGAGGGGGGGUAGGAAUUUCAGGUGUAGCGGUGAAAUGCGUAGAGAUCUGAAGGAAUACCAGUGGCGAAGGCGGCCCCCUGGACAAAGACUGACGCUCAGAUGCGAAAGCGUGGGGAGCAAACAGGAUUAGAUACCCCUGGUAG